CACCGCGGUUAUACGAAAGACCCUAGUUGAUAUUCACGGCGUAAAGGGUGGUUAAGGGUAAUACACAAUAAAGCCAAAGAUCUUCUAAGCCGUUAUACGCACCCCGAAAGUCACGAGGCCCAAAUACGAAAGUAGCUUUAAAACAAGCCUGACCCCACGAAAGCUAAGAAA
rnacentral:rRNA from 1 species